UAAAACACGUUAAUUCCAGUUUCCUCCUUACGGUCAACUGACUUACUCUGACAAGUAUUACAGUAACACUUAACCAGUCUCCUAGAGUAGCCCAGACCUGUCUGAAGCCCUCAGACACCACGGAAGACCUUUCUUCCUCAGAGAAAACAGGCACUGGCGUGUGGCAGGGAACAAGCCCACCCUGAGGUCCAAGCCUGGCUGUCACAGCACCCUAGCUGUUAAUGCCCUUCUGAGUAGAACAGAUGGGGUAGAACCCCACAGAGUGUUCUAUUUCACAUGUAGAUGGGUGCCUGGCAACCAGGAUGCACCACCAAGGAGGCUGGGCUGAGGAGGAGAACCCAGCCUUUCUAAAGCCAAGGCACACCAGAAUUGAGACUAUUUUGGUAGCACCCUGAGGGUGUUGUACGAGGCCCCUGGAGUGUAGAAGGACCCACUGAGGAUCCAGCAACCCUUGACAGAAUGGCCUAAGUUUAGAUAGGACCAGUGCUCUGUCGUGAAUGGAGUGAGAACCAAAACCUCCAGGAUGCAUCCAGCGGUGUGUUUCCACGGGGAUUAUAAAUCCAGUCCAGUUGACAAUAAAGGUUAGCCACCACUCGGCCAUCACACUCCCACUUGGCACUUCCUUCCAUUCUGAGCACACCAGAAUCGUCCUUGGGGCUGAUGGCCCCACGAAACAGAAUUGUUCCAGGGACGAAGCCUUUGAUGGAUUGGCUGCUCUGCUGGCUGCUUUGGUAGAAUGGGUCAUAAAUAUUAACAGGCUGACAAACAUGUCAUGUCACACCUGUGACCAAGAAACACCCAGGCUUCUACCACUUUGUUCUUUUGAUAGACACCAUCUCCUUCUCUCCUGAACUUGCUCUGAUGGGUCUAUUCCUCCACCACCCUCCUCAGAGGACCAGGGUUCAGUUCCCAACACCCCUAUCAGGUGCUGGAAAGAUAGAUGUCACCAAGUCCUCCGGCACCCUUCAUCCUCUGAUGAGGAAAUCAGCAGCAGUCCAAUGUGCAAAUACAAUCUACUAGACCUGCCCUUCCUCUGCCUUUCCUCUGAAAAGGGAAGUUGGAUUUCCACAGUAUGAAGGUACAAUUCUGUCAAAUUUGCCUAAUGAGCAGUGCACAGAAAUGGAACUGAGAAACCUCAUUUUGAGAAAAGGAAACACCGAUGUGUGACAAGGGAUUAAAGAUGAGGAUCAGAUAACAAUGAAAUCCCGCCAGGGGCUUGGAGGAUAAAAGCCACCAAUUGACCUGAAAUGACAGGAUGGAAGGGGACAUCUGAGGCAAGUCGAUUCUUGACAUCCUGCACUAAUGAGGGACUCUGGGGUGAAGUGAUGGUCAUCGUGAGAAAAUGAUCAUUGGCAUCUUUAGUCUCUCAGCCACCAGGAAGAGCCCAAAGCAUUCUGGGAACAAAGUAUCACCUGGCAGAGUUUCAAUAUCCAAACAAAUAUGGAUUUGCAACUUUAGUUUUCAACCACAAGACAAGCAUGUGCAAAGCCAAUUCCUUUGACAAUUGUUUCAUCCAGGGCUGGAGGGAUGGUUCAGUGGUUACAGAGCUACAUGGUUCUUGCAGAGGAGCAUGAAUUUGGUUUCCAGCCCCUUGCCAAGUAGCUCAGGACAGUAUGUAACUCCAGGCUCCAGGGGACCCAACGAAUUAAAUCAAAGACACAGUGGCACA